CAGCAGUGGGGAAUAGUUGCACAAUGGGGGAAACCCUGAUGCAGCCAUGCCGCGUGUGUGAAGAAGGACCUUCGGGUUGUAAAGCACUUUCAGUAGGGAGGAAGGUAGUGUAGUUAACACCUGCAUUAUUUGACGUUACCUACAGAAGAAGCACCGGCUAACUCCGUGCCAGCAGCCGCGGUAAUACGGAGGGUGCGAGCGUUAAUCGGAAUUACUGGGCGUAAAGCGCAUGCAGGCGGCCUGUUAAGUCAGAUGUGAAAGCCCGGGCGUUAACCUACGGAAUUGCAUUUGAAACUGGCAGGCUAGAGUCUUGUAGAGGGGGGUAGGAAUUUCAGGUGUAGCGGUGAAAUGCGUAGAGAUCUGAAGGAAUACCAGUGGCGAAGGCGGCCCCCUGGACAAAGACUGACGCUCAGAUGCGAAAGCGUGGGGAGCAAACAGGAUUAGAUACCCUGGUAG
rnacentral:rRNA from 1 species